rnacentral:rRNA from 1 species
UUGGAGGGCAAGUCUGGUGCCAGCAGCCGCGGUAAUUCCAGCUCCAAUAGCGUAUAUUAAAGUUGCUGCAGUUAAAAAGCUCGUAGUUGAAUUUCGGGACCAUCAUGUCGGUCGUGCCUCGGUACGUACUGGUAUUGUUGGUUUCUCCCUUCUGACGAACCAUGAUGUCAUUUAUUUGGUGUUGUGGGGAAUCAGGACUGUUACUUUGAAAAAAUUAGAGUGUUUAAAGCAGGCUCACGCUUGAAUACAUUAGCAUGGAAUAAUGAAAUAGGACGUUUGAUUCUAUUUUGUUGGUUUCUAGGAUCGACGUAAUGAUUAAUAGGGAUAGUUGGGGGCAUUAGUAUUCAAUUGUCAGAGGUGAAAUUCUUGGAUUUAUUGAAGACUAACUACUGCGAAAGCAUUUGCCAAGGAUGUUUUCAUUAAUCAAGAACGAAAGUUAGGGGAUCGAAGACGAUCAGAUACCGUCGUAGUCUUAACCAUAAACUAUGCCGACUAGGGGAUCGGAUGAUGUUAAUUUUUAAUGACUCAUUCGGC